rnacentral:rRNA from 14 species
UAUGAGAGUUUGAUCCUGGCUCAGGAUGAACGCUAGCGGUAUGCUUAACACAUGCAAGUCGUACGAGAGUCUUUGACUCUAGUGGCGGACGGGUGAGUAACGCGUGAGAAUUCGCCCAUAGGAGGGAAAUAACAGUAGGAAACCGCUGCUAAAGUCCCAUAUACCUUUUGGUGAAACAGAGUAAUCUGCCUAUGGAGAAGCUCGCGUCUGAUUAGCUAGUUGGUGGGGUAAAGGCCUACCAAGGCGAUGAUCAGUAGUUGGUCUGAGAGGAUGAUCAGCCACACUGGGACUGAGACACGGCCCAGACUCCCUCGGGGGGCAGCAGUGGGGAAUAUUGGACAAUGGGCUCACGCCCGAUCCAGCAAUAUCGCGUGGGUGAAGAAGGGCACUGUCGCUUGUCAAGCUCUUUCGUCGAGUUUCGAUCAUGACAGGACUCGAGGAAGAAGCCCCGGCUAACUCCGUGCCAGCAGCCGCGGUAAUACGGGGGGGGCAAGUGUUAUUCGGAAUGACUGGGCGUAAAGGGCACGUAGGCGGUGAAAAGGGUGGAAAGUGAAAGUCGCC